AGGCUUGUAGCUCAGUGGACUAGAGCAUGCGUUUCCGAAGCGCAGAGUCGAGGGUUCGAACCCCUCCUUGCCUA
rnacentral:tRNA from 1 species